CGAAAUGACUCGUUCGCUCCUUGCCUCGUUCCAGUUCGCACCGACGCCUCCACUCCUCGUCUCCUCGCACCGUUCCCAUAGGCACGCAACGCUCGCAGACACGCAGGCACGCAACGCUCGCAGACACGCAGGCACGCAGCGCUGCCGGAGGCCGAUGUCAACCGUCGGAGGCGACUCUCGCGGCGGCGCCUGGCCCCCCGUCCGCCCCUCCUCUUCAGCUUCGGAUGGAGCAGCAAUCGAGCAGGUACAAGCGACCCUGGCGGCGGUGCCCCGCCACCCGCACCGGCGGCGCCCGACCCCCGCCCGCCCCUCCUCUUCAGAAACAGAAGAUGAAGAGGAGUGGAAUUGUUGGCAGUAGCAUAUUUGCAAUGUGGGAAAAGGCUUCAAGGAAAGGAAAAUAGAUGAAGUAUCCACACCGAAUCAGACAGUAGCUGCAUCUAGUACUUGUACUUCUCCUGUUCAUUUUGAGAGCAAUUUGCAAUUGGUGUUAUGGCAAGAACCGGAGAGUAGAGGAGAAACCUCAACACCUCAUGUAGAAGAUGAUGAAUCUAUUGAUGAAGAUUAUGAACCGAUGCAAGCAGAUUUGGAGGCACUCGAACAUGAUCCUGGAAAGCGGAUUCCCAUCUCAGUGUAUGUUGUUAAUGACCAAGAUAGAGUAAGAAGGAGAUAUAUUGAGAUGGGGUCAUGUCAACCAAAGAAUCAUAAGUUCAAGUUUACAAAUAAAAGUGGAAAAGAGCGUCGAUUUUGCCGUGUUUGGUUUAAAGAAUUUCCGUGGAUUGAGUAUAGUGUGGAAAAACAUAGAGCUUUCUGCUUCGUUUGCUAUUUGUUCAAGGAUAAAACAAGAUGUCCCAGUGGAGAUGCUUUCGUGAAGAAGGGAUUUAAUAACUGGAACAUGAAGUCAAGAUUGAAGAAACAUGAAGGUGAGGUUAGUAGUGCUCAUGCUGAAGCUCAAGAGAAGUAUGAUAAGUUCACUACACCACAAACAUGAAUUCGGGAGUCUAUUGCUUCAAACACCUCACAAUACAAGGCUUUGUAUAAACAGCGUUUGACAUGGACACUCAAGUGUCUGAGAUUUCUGUUGCGCCAAGGCUUGACAUUUAGAAGACAUGAUGAAAGUGAAGACUCACUAAAUAAAGGAAAUUUCCUUGAGCUUCUAAAUUCGCUAGCAGGAAAUUUUGAAGAGGUUGACAGGGUUUGCAGGAUGACUCACCAUGAUAUAAACAAGAGGUGAUAAAAUGUUGUGCAUAAGAGACUACUAAACUAGCCAUUGAAGAACUUGAUGGUGGUCAUUUUGCAAUACUUGUAGAUGAGUCUAGUGAUGUGUAUCAGAAUGAACAGUUGGUUGUUUGCUUGCGUUAUGUUGAUAAGAAAGGAAGGGCGGUUGUAAGAUUUCUUGGUCUUGCUCAUGUUGAAGAUACUACCUCUUUGACACUAAAAGUUGCAAUUCAGAAAAUGCUUAUGGAAUACAAUUUGACCCUUGCAAUGGUUCAUGGGCAAGGAUAUGAUGGAACUAGUAAUAUGAGAGGUAAUGUUAAUGGCCUGAAAAAACUGAUUAUGGGUGAGUCUCCUUCUGCCUACUAUGUUCAUUGUUUUGCCCAUCCACUACAGUUAACUCUUGUUGCUGUUGCUAAGGAGAGUGGUGAUUGUACUUGGUUCUUUUAGCAGCUUGCACACUUGUUAAAUGCUCUUGGCAUGUCUUGUAAAAAGAUGAGAAUGCUUCGAAUAGCUCAGACUGAAGAACUCAUUGAUGCAUUGGAAUUGGAAGAGUAGAAACAGGGAGUGGCCUGAUCAGGAAAUGGGUUUGGGAAGGUCAUGUGAUACACGUUGGGGCUCUCACUUCAAAACUGUGAACCAUGUCAUCUCUAUGUAUGGUGCACUACGACGAGUCCUUCGCAAGAUUGGAGACUAGUACCAUGGUGCGGAGGCACAAGCGGCUCUAUCCAUAGAGACAAUAUUUCGAUCAUUUGAGUUUGUUUUCAUGGCACACUUGAUCCAAGAAAUAUUUGAACACACAGAUGAGUUGUGUAGAGCUUUGCAAAAGCAAGACGAAGAUAUUGUUCAUGCUAUUAAGCUUGUUGGUGACACAAAGUAUUACUUGAAGGCUUUGAGGACCGAUGCUGGAUGUGAUGAUUUUAUCACAAAGGUCACAUCUUUUUGUACAAAGCAUAACAUCAAAGUUGUUGAUAUGGAGGGUCCUUACUUUCCCGUUAGCCGGCCUAAAAAGGGUUUAUGUAAUGGUGCGACCAAUUACCACCACUUCAAGGUUGAUAUGUUUGUGGAUUUCAUUGAUAGGCAAACCAGUGAGCUAAAUGGCAGAUUUGAUGAGGUAAACACGUAGCUACUUUCUUGCAUGGCAGCAUUCUGUCCACUUCAUCUAUUUGCUGCUUAUGACGAAGAGAAGUUGGUUAGGCUUGCUACAAAGUUUUAUGCUUCUGAUUUUACAAGGGAUGAACUGGCAAGACUUCCAUGGCAACUAAACAUGUAUGUUACUAAUGUGCGUAGAGAUAAAAGGUUUCAAAAUCUGAAAAAUCUGUGUCAGCUUUUAGUUAUGCUUGUUGAGACAAACAAGCAUGAACAAUAUCAAAUUGUUUACAAGCUUCUUAAGUUGGUAUUGAUUCUGCCGGUAGCUACUGCUGGUGUUGAAAGGGUAUUAUCUUCAAUGAGCUAUGUGAAGAAUAAGUGAACAAAAUGGGUGAUGAAUAUUUGAACAAUUGUUUGGUUACAUUCGUUAAGAGAUAAUUUUUCAAUCAAGUGAAAGAUGAAGAUGUCAUCAAUUUAUUUCAAAAAGGCGACCGCAGAGUUAUAUUGUAAGAAGGAUAUCAUCACUUUAUUAAUCAAAAGGUACUUAUGUAUUUAUGUCGUUAUGGUCUGAUAUACUAAAAUAUUGCUAUUGCCGUUAUGCUAGUGUUGUUUUAUUCAUAUAUUGCUAGCGUUGUGUUGUUUAGUCCAUAUACUACAUUUAGAGAAAAAAGAAUUUGGAUGAAUACCCAGCCUUCAUUUCAUUUUAAUUCAUUUUCUUGAGGUCCGCGUUGGAGAUGCCCUAGAAGGUUGUAUUCUCACAAAAUCAACAUCGUAUCGCUGUGAAAGAGUUGGUAUAAUUUUGCACGUACAUUGUGGAAGAUUUUCCAUCACGUUGGCUCACUACUCUAUUUUACGUGUACAGAAAACCUAGUUUAUCUGUGAGCUGACUUCUGUGAUGAUUCAACGUCCACGCGUGGUAACGUAGACGCACGCAAUGCGCACGUCCUGUCCUGAGGAGGGCAAUGAGAGUACCAACAUAAACUAAUACAAUCCUCUUGGUAACACAUAAAUCGCAUUUGAAGAAAUAAGUGAAACAUUACUCAAGUACCAUAAGUUGCGCAAAACAUCACCGGAUGAAGUGAAAUAUUACUCAAGUACGUCAUAUAACAGCUGCAAUGAAACAUUACUCAAGUAGUAUGUCAUAUGACAGCUGCCGUUUACCGUGAAGAACAAUACAAGGAAAGAAAUGAAUUGAAGAAAAUCAGAGCCAAUUGAACUGAAGCUGGAUCUGCAGCUUCAGGAUUGUCUGAAAGAGCAGACAGCAAUGACACGCCACUGAAGUUCAGUUAGCAGAUGGAAACUCAAAAGGACUAGAUAAAGGAAAUGUCGUUAAGAGCUGCUAAUUUCCUCGUAUUCAGAA